rnacentral:rRNA from 1 species
GUGGGGAAUAUUGCGCAAUGGGCGAAAGCCUGACGCAGCGACGCCGCGUGGGUGAUGAAGGCCUUCGGGUCGUAAAGCCUUGUUGGAGAGGGACGAACAACCCUGGGGCGAAUACCUCCAGGGCCUGACGGUACCUUUUCAGAAAGCACCGGCUAACUCCGUGCCAGCAGCCGCGGUAAUACGGAGGGUGCAAACGUUGUUCGGAAUUACUGGGCGUAAAGCGCGUGUAGGCGGCUUGGCAAGUCAGAUGUGAAAUCCCUCGGCUCAACCGAGGAAGUGCAUUUGAAACUGCCAGGAUAGAGUACGGGAGAGGGUUGUGGAAUUCCCGGUGUAGAGGUGAAAUUCGUAGAUAUCGGGAGGAACAUCGGUGGCGAAGGCGGCAACCUGGACCGAUACUGACGCUGAGACGCGAAAGCGUGGGGAGCAAACAGGAUUAGAAACCCCUGUAGUCC